rnacentral:lncRNA from 1 species
UUUUUUUUUUUUUGUCCUCUAUGUAAUACUGACUUUAUUAAGUCAGUAAAAAAUUAAGUUUUUGGUGUAUACUAGCUUUUGGCCGCCUUCACAGCAUGAAGAGCCUAGCUCCAGUUCUCAAUGCCUUUUUCUGCUAAUAAAAAUAUUUCCUUCCGUGCAUGUGAGAGUAUGGCCAAGUGGCCACUUAAGUAACUCUGGGAAAAAAAACAGUACAAGCUUUUCUUAGUCCCUAGCUGAAAGGCAACUUUUUCUUUCCACCUUCUUAACUCUUUUCUUAACCACACCAAAUUUACAGUGUGGUUUCUGAGGCACAGACAUCAGAACUGGACUUAAUUUCCCCAUAACAUUCUGACUGACAUCCUAUGCAGUGAUAAUACCGCAUCUCUGCUUUGGGGUUUUUAUCCUCAAAACAAAUGCAUUUUUCUUGGGAAAAAAAGUACUUGUGGAAGACACACAUUUGUACACAGUUGUAAGUUUAUUUGCUAUAUAUGAUUGCCAUAAGAGGACAGCUGUAAACUACUAUGUGUACUUGAUUACAGCCAAUAUACAUUAGUGAAGAUUUCAUAGAAUAUUUACCAAACAUUUAUCCUAGCACAAACCUGUAAGCUGUAUAUUCAGAAGUCUGUGUUGCCACUGUUCAAACUGCUAAUGGUGAUAUUUAAGCCUCUGAAAAGUUCUGAUGUUUGCAUGCUACUGCUGUUUUUAUUGUUUUCAUCUCAUGUCAUCCUGCUUUCACCCACCACAAAAAUUCCAGUCAGUAAGGGUGUGCUUGUUAGCUGAUUUAAAUUCAAACACUUCACGCCAAACCCAGCAUCAAAUGAAAUCAUUGGCAAAACCCCCACUGACUUCACUCGGAGUAAGACCAACUGGAGGAGCAAGGCUCCCAUGAGAGGCAUGCAUCACUGUCAUUCACAUCCUGCUGAGUCUGUGAGAACCAGGACAAGAUACUAUUUGAAGGCCCUUCUACUUGCGUUUCAUGUGACACACCACUUCUCUUUUGUUUUGCAGAACUUUGUAAGAGAAGAUUUUUACUAUCUGCAAGUAACAAACUGAAGAGGCUGGAUGAGUCACUGGAGACAGUUUUGGGCCAGCUCGGCUUGCAGACUGCCAGUGUCAGGGAAGGUUCACCCAAUUCUCCCCUUCCUGCUGCACAGCCAUCCCAAAAUAACGUGGCAGCGCUAAACAUAGCACCGCCAUGCUCUUUUAAUAAACAAUGAUUCCUGCAGCGUGUACAAGUCACCACAUUUGUCAAGAUAAGCACAUCAACAGGAGAUGUCAUAUUAGCCUAGACAAAGAGAUUGAACCAGAUAGCUUUGUCAAACAUCAAGCAAAGGGGCUCAUUCAAACUGACAAAGCAAGAAAUUAUUUAAAAGUUGAACCUACCAAUUUAGCCUUAACUCAUUCUGUCCUCUCCUGC